rnacentral:lncRNA from 1 species
UUACCAUGUUAAUAUGUUUGAAGUUAAUAUGUUUUUGACCCAAGAAUAAACAUUAAGAUUAUUUUUUAGAAAUGAGCAGCCAAGAUACAGAAGGCGACGAAGAAGUUUCUGCAUUUUUUCGAAAUGUUCAAGAGAUCAGAGCCGAAGAGGUCUUGCCAACGGAAAUAAU